rnacentral:sRNA from 1 species
UUGUAGCUGGAGAAACUGAGGCUCAGAGUGGUACAGUCACUGGGCCCAGCAAGCUGGGGUCUGCUCUCUGGGCUGUGAGAUCAGUGCUCCCACUACACAGAUGGGAGAACCGAGGCUCUGGGAGGGCAGGUGGCUUGCCCAAGGUCACCUAGCACAUCCAGAGUCUUGCUCUGUCACCCAGGCUGGAGUGCAGUGGUGUGAUCUUGGCUCAUUGUAACCUCCACCUCCCGGGUUCAAGUGAUUCUCAUGCCUCAGCCUCCCAAGUAGCUGGGAUUACAGGUGGUAACUUCCAAGAGUGACUCCGUGGGAGGAAAAUGACUGCCCAGUCGCUGCUGCAGAUGACGCUGUUCCUGCUGAGUCUGCUCUUCCUGGUCCAAGCCAGCGGAACCAGACACACAAGAGCAGCCUCCACUACAAAGCCACGCAAGACCUGCGCAUCUCCAUCGAGAACUCCGAGGAGGCCCUCACAGUCCAUGCCCCCUUCCCUGCGGCCCACCCUGCUUCUCGAUCCUUCCCUGACCCCAGGGGCCUCUACCACUUCUGCCUCUACUGGAACCGACAUGCUGGGAGAUUGCAUCUUCUCUAUGGCAAGC